AUGAACGCUGGCGGCGGGCCUAAUCCAUGCAAGUCGAGCGAACGGACGAGAAGCUUGCUUCUCUGAUGUUAGCGGCGGACGGGUGAGUAACACGUGGAUAACCUACCUAUAAGACUGGGAUAACUUCGGGAAACCGGAGCUAAAACCGGAUAAUAUUUUGAACCGCAUGGUUCAAAAGUGAAAGACGGUCUUGCUGUCACUUAUAGAUCGAUCCGCGCUGCAUGAGCCAGUUGGUAAGGUAACGGCUUACCAAGGCAACGAUGCGUAGCCGACCUGAGAGGAUGAUCAGCCACACUGGAACUGAGACACGGUCCAGACUCCUACGCGGCGCAGCAGUAGGGAACCUGCCGCAAUUGGCGAACUCCUGACGUAGCAACGCCACGUGAGUGAUGAAGGUCUUCGGAUCGUUAAACUCUGUUAUUAGGGUGGAACAUAUGUUUAAUUAACUGUGCACAUCUUGACGGUGCCUAAUCAGAAAGCCCCGGCUAACUACGUG
rnacentral:rRNA from 1 species